GUAUGAGUUUGGAUUUAUGACAAGCCCUCCCCACUGGGCCUCUCAUAGUGCCCCAUGCCAGAACAUACUGUGGCCCCAGACUAUUGCCUGGUGUCUGUGCCCAUAAGCUGCUGGCACUGAAGCAGGUUGUACAGUG